CUGUUCGGCAGUCUCCUCGGGCAACAGUGAGAAUUUCAAAUAUACAUAGUAUUGAAAUAGCAGCAUGAAGACGGCGCCGAUUAUAAAAAAAAUGAUGAUUGAAUUGGAUUUGGAUUGGUUUUGAAUUGGUGGUUUCUUGGUUAAUUGCAAUGAAGGAAAAGUGAAAGGAAUCUGUCUCCCACGCACGCACGCACACACGUACACAGACACUACGAGGCGCACCACCGCACGUACGAUACGAUUUGUUUCGAGGCGUACACACACACACACGCACACACAAUCAAUACGUCGAUUUAAUAAUUCAGGUUACCACAAUAUGGGAUUUUUUUUAAAUAAAAUUUAUGGUGGAGGGUAGGGACUCCUUUUUUGGCUA
rnacentral:sRNA from 1 species